AGCGAACGCUGGCGGCAGGCUUAACACAUGCAAGUCGAGCGGGCCCUUCGGGGUCAGCGGCGGACGGGGGAGUAACGCGUGGGAAUGUGCCUUCUGGUCUGGCAUAACUCUGGGAAACUAGGGCUAAUACCGGAUACGCCCUUAUGGGGGAAGGUUUACUGCCGGAAGAUCGGCCCGCGUCUGAUUAGCUAGUUGGUGGGGUAACGGCCUACCAAGGCGACGAUCAGUAGCUGGUAUGAGAGGAGGAUCAGCCACACUGGGACUGAGACGCGGCCCAGACUCCUACGGGAGGCAGCAGUGGGGAAUAGUGGACAAUGGGCGCAAGCCUGAACCAGCCAUGCCGCGUGAGUGAUGAAGGCCUUAGGGUUGUAAAGCUCUUUUAUCCGGGACGAUAAUGACGGUACCGGAGGAAUAAGCCCCGGCUAACUUCGUG
rnacentral:rRNA from 1 species